rnacentral:rRNA from 1 species
CAGCCGCCGCGGUAAUACGAAGGGGGCUAGCGUUGUUCGGAAUCACUGGGCGUAAAGGGUGCGUAGGCGGAUUCUUAAGUCAGGGGUGAAAUCCCGAGGCUCAACCUCGGAACUGCCUUUGAUACUGGGGAUCUUGAGUCCGGAAGAGGUGAGUGGAACUGCGAGUGUAGAGGUGAAAUUCGUAGAUAUUCGCAAGAACACCGGUGGCGAAGGCGGCUCACUGGUCCGGAACUGACGCUGAGGCACGACAGCGUGGGGAGCAAACAGGAUUAGAUACCCGGGUAGUCCCUGUCUCUUAUAC